CACUGGCAUGCAGCCGUUAUGAUGACGAGUCAGGUCGGGCUCCGCGGUGGGUUUGGUCGCCCAUGGGACGGAGAUAUGGAAAGGGUCUCGUACGCUGUAAGACUAACUUCGGUUGAGCUUGCGAUAUGGGCCUAUGCCUGGAUAAGUCAUAAUGUUACUGCCCAGUG
rfam:Lettuce necrotic stunt virus partial p19 gene for 19 kDa protein, isolate To2, genomic RNA